AUGAUGCAAAAUGAUCUGCAGCAAGAGUUGAGUUUCGACGGUGAUUGCGAUGUCGUAUGGAAGGCGUGGCUUGCCAGAGUUCGUCGGAUUCAUUUGCAUAUCUGGGUGUGGUUGGCGUCGAAGAAUGGAAGAAAGGUCGCGGUUGGAAUGAUGCGUGUCAAUGAACGGCGGAGUUCUGGUCACACGAUGGAGGUGUUGUUAUUGCGGUGGCAUCUCGGUUUUCUUCUCUUUCUCAACAAUCGAAAUGGAGCUCGAAUGAUGUGA